rnacentral:rRNA from 1 species
AGUCGAACGCAGUAGCAAUACUGAGUGGCAAACGGGUGAGUAUAAUGUGGGAAUCUGCCUUUUGGUUUGGAAUAACACGGGGAAACUUGUGCUAAUACCGGAUAAGCCCUUACGGGGAAAGUUUUAACGCCGAAAGAUGAGCCUGCACUUGAUUAGCUAGUUGGUAAGGUAAAAGCUUACCAAGGCAACGAUCAAUAGCUGUUCUUAGAGGAAGACCAGCCACAUUGGGACUGAGACACGGCCCAGACUCCUACGGGAGGCAGCAGUGGGGAAUCUUGCACAAUGGGGGAAACCCUGAUGCAGCGAUGCCGCGUGAGUGAAGAAGGCCUUUGGGUUGUAAAACUCUUUCGUCGGGGAAGAAAAUGACUGUACCCGAAUAAGAAGGUCCGGCUAACUUCGUGCCAGCAGCCGCGGUAAUACGAAGGGACCUAGCGUAGUUCGGAAUUACUGGGCUUAAAGAGCUCGUUGGUGGUUAAAAAAGUUGAUGGUGAAAUCCCAAGGCUCAACCUUGGAACUGCCAUCAAAACUUUUUAGCUAGAGUGUGAUAGAGGUAAGUGGAAUUUCUAGUGUAGAGGUGAAAUUCGUAGAUAUUAGAAAGAACACCAAAUGCGAAGGCAACUUACUGGGUCACUACUGACACUGAGGAGCGAAAGCAUGGGUAGCGAAGAGGAUUAGAUACCCUCGUAGUCCAUGCCGUAAACGAUGUGUGCUAGACGUUGGAAAUAUAUUUUUCAGUGUCGCAGCGAAAGCAUUAAGCACACCGCCUGGGGAGUACGACCGCAAGGUUAAAACUCAAAUGAAUUGACGGGGACCCGCACA